rnacentral:lncRNA from 1 species
AGGUUCACACUGUUUAGGGUCACGUGUUUAGGUUCAUCUGUUUUAGGUUCACGCUGUUUAGGUUCACACUGUUUAGGUUCACACUGUUUAGGUUCACACUGUUUAGGUUCACACUGUUUAGGUUCACGUUAUUUAGGUUCACUCUGUUUAGGUUCACGCGGUUUAGGUUCACGCUGUUUUAGGUUCACGCGAUUGUUUAGGUUCACACUGUUUAGGUUCACACUGUUUAGGUUCACACUGUUUAGGUUCAGUUGUUUAGGUUCACUCUGUUUAGGUUCACACUGUUUAGGUUCAAUCUGUUUAGGUUCACGCUGUUUAGGUUCACACUGUUUAGGUUCACACUGUUUAGGUUCAUUUGUUAGGUUCACACGUUAGGUUCAUGUGUUAGGUCCUCUGUUAGUUCACACC